AAGUAACGAUAAAAUAUGUGAAAAACAUAUUCGCCAUAAGUCUAAGGGUUCCUGAUCAAUGUUAAUCAGAUCAGGGUUAGUCGGAUCCUAAGGACCAGCCGAAAGGCGACCUCCGAUGGAAAAACUGUUAAUAUUCAGUUACUUGCUUAAAUUUCGAUGGGGUGACGGAGUAGUGAAAGUGCCGCGAACUGACGGAAUAGUUCGUUAAAGUGCGUAGGUAUAUUGAUUGCAGGAAAAUCCGCAGUUAAUGCUGAAACAUGACAGUACACAGAACCUUCGGGGGACGUGAUAGUGCACCUAAUCAAACUUCCAAGAAAAACCUCUAAGGCUAGGUUUAAGCAAUCCGUACCGGAAAUCGACACAGAUAGACGAGGAGAGCAUCCUAAGGCGCUCGGGUGAGCCGCGGCUAAGGAAUUCGGCAAAAUUGUUCUGUAACUUCGGGAUAAAGAACCCCUACUUCGGUAGGGCGCAGUGAAAUGGCCCAGGCGACUGUUUAACAAAAACACAGGACUCUGCUAAAUCGUAAGAUGAAGUAUAGGGUCUGACUCCUGCCCGGUGCUGGAAGGUUAAGGAAGGUGGUCAGCGUAAGCGAAGCUACCGACUGAAGCCCCAGUAAACGGCGGCCGUAACAAUAACGGUCCUAAGGUAGCGAAAUUCCUUGUCGGGUAAGUUCCGACCUGCACGAAUGGAGUAACGAUCUGGGCACUGUCUCAGCCGCGAGCCCGGUGAAAUUGAAGUAUCGGUGAAGAUGCCGAUUACCCGCAAUGGGACGGAAAGACCCCAUGCACCUUCACUACAACUUAACACUGAAUUUGAUUAAAUGAUGUGUAGGAUAGGUGGGAGACUUUGAAGCGGUGGCGCCAGCCAUCGUGGAGUCAACCUUGAAAUACCACCCUUCCUUUGAUUAGAUUCUAACUCCCGAUAAAGAGGACAAUGUUUGGUGGGUAGUUUGACUGGGGUGGUCGCCUCCCAAAAUGUAACGGAGGCUUCCAAAGGUACGUUCAACACGCUUAGUAACCGUGUGUAGAGUGCAUUGGCACAAACGUGCUUGACUGUAAGGCAAACAAGCCGAGCAGGGACGAAAGUCGGGCAAAGUGAUCCGGUGGUUCCAUAUGGAAGGGCCAUCGCUCAUAGGAUAAAAGGUACGCUGGGAUAACAGGCUGAUCUCCCCCAAGAGCUCACAUCGACGGGGAGGUUUGGCACCUCGAUGUCGGCUCGUCACAUCCUGGGGCUGGAGAAGGUCCCAAGGGUUGAGCUGUUCGCUCAUUAAAGUGGCACGCGAGCUGGGUUCAGAACGUCGCAAGACAGUUCGGUCCCUAUCUAUUGCGGGCGUUAGAAAUUUGAGGAGAGCUGACUCUAGUACGAGAGGACCGUGUCGGACGAACCUCUGGUGUAUCUGUUGUGGCGCCAGCUGCAUUGCAGAGUAGCUAUGUUCGGAAUGGAUAAGCACUGAAAGCAUCUAAGUGCGAAGCCAACUCCAAGAUGAGAUUUCUUUUAAGGGUCGUAGAAGAUUACUACGUUGAUAGGUCGCAGGUGUAAAGGUGGUGACAUCAAAGCCGAGCGAUACUAAUUGCCCGUUUACUUUCUA
rnacentral:rRNA from 1 species